UGCSAGUGCMRCUGCCCGGUAGCUAAAUGCGGAAGAGAUAAGUGCUGAAAGCAUCUAAGCACGAAACUUGCCCCGAGAUGAGUUCUCCCUGAGACUUAGAGUCUCCUGAAGGAACGUUGAAGACGACGACGUUGAUAGGCCGGGUGUGUAAGCGCAGCGAUGCGUUGAGCUAACCGGUACUAAUGAACCGUGAGGCUUAACCUUACAACGCCGAAG
rnacentral:rRNA from 1 species